GGGCCGGUGGCGAAAUGGCAGACGCAGGGGACUUAAAAUCCCCCGGGAUCAUAUCCCGUGUGGGUUCGACUCCCACUCGGCCCA
rnacentral:tRNA from 1 species